rnacentral:lncRNA from 1 species
GAACAUGGAGAAACACGACAAAGGAGAAGCUUAAAGCAGAACAGACCACAGCCAAGGAGAUGUCUCUGAGUUGGAAGGAGAACACCACCAUUUUCUUCAAAAUAUUUUAUUGGAAGCAGUAUCAUAGCCAUGUGCUUAAGAAUAAGCCACUCUCUGAAAAUAAUGUGGUCUUGCAAACAGGUCUAAGCAUUGGGACAUAGCAGAUGACUAUCCUGAUCUUGCACAAGCCCACAACGUAGAUGUGACAAUCUAAGUUCCGGGGGAAACUCCCUUACCGUAGUUAUGUGUUGCUGUGGGAUAAACUACGCCACAAGUCAGUGGCUUAAAACAAAAACAAUGACUUCUUUCUCAUGAUUCUGCUAAAGCAGCCAUGUAGAGAUGACCCAACGAGAGAAACUGAGGCCCGAGCCAAACAGCCUCCACGGAGUAUCCAGUUUGCAUCUUCCAGCUGUCCCAGCAUCUCAGCCUGCACCAAGUUAAGCAGAACGUCUUGGUAAAGCCUCAAGUUAAUUACUCGUCUGGGGGCUGCACUCUUCCCCAUUUGGCACUCUCUUGAAGGAAUCUUUGGUUUACCCUCUAGCAAUAAAACUGCCACCCACUUCUCAGAGGUCCCGAGGACCACUUGGUGCCGGAGGAGGCUGGCUCUGCCUUGGAGAACCAAUGGAGGGGAUCUUUUCCCCACUCCACAUUCGGUAACUUGAAAUUGGCCAGGACAGGCGCAUGUCCACCAUGAAAACUGGUGGAUGUUUUUCCCUUGGAGAACCAGUUGUCGAACAUUUCCCAGCACACCAUUGCCCUGAGCCCUGAAAUGUGCCUGGGCAACCUCACCGCACCCUCCUACUACAGCCUCGGACACAGUGGUUCUCAAACUCAGAUGUAUAGAACCCACCCAAGGGACUUGCACACUUCGCAAAUACUCACCCUCCUUGUCGCUCAUCUUCCAGCCAUAACCGGGACAUGGUAGGAACUCAAGAAAUGCUUCUUGAGUGAAAAAAUGAACACGACUUUAAGGUGGGUAGUAGUAUCAUCUGCAUUUUACAGAUGAGGAAACCAAGGCACAAAAUUGUUGGAAAAAAAAAAAGUUGCCCAAGGUAGCAUAGCUAGUAGGUACAGGAGUCAAGUGCAGGUCUGUCUGGCCCAGACAAAUGCACAUAGUGGACUGAAAGAUCCCAGGCGAUGGCCCUGCAGAGUCCCAGUGCCUGGUCCCACCUAACAGCGAUGGCGGGUCCCACCUACCAUCACGGCUGGCUUAUUAUCAGCAAUCAUUUUGGCCCAGCCAUGAUGGUGCCCUUAGUGAGCUCAGGGCAGUGGACUUACACAUUGUGAACUGACUACGGGACAAUGCCUGAACUGUGCAGCAAACAUGACUAUGAGGCAGUAUCACGUGAAAUUUUGGAGAAUGGGUUUGGGGUCUAAAAGCACUGGGUUCACAUACCACCUAGGCACCUCAAUUUCCUCAUAUGCAAAAGAGGACUUAUUCCUUAGGUUAGUCAAUUUGUUGACUUAAAAAUAUUUGUGUAGUACCUACUCAGCCAUAUACUACAGGCAAAACAGGCUUCAUGGCCCCUGUCUUUCUGGAGGUUAAGAAAUUCUGAAUAAUACAAAACAUGAUGCAUUUUCAAACUCAACCCCUGGCAUGUACAAAGUGCUUGUCUUAAUCAGAAUUCCUAGUAAAUAACCGUAAGUUCUGUGGAUGCAGAGGCUGCACCCAUCGUGAUAAUUGCUGUAUUUCUAGUUCCUGGCACAUAAUUGAUGCCCAAUAAGUUUUUCUUGCAUACAUUAAAAAGAGUUUCUUCUCUUGUAAAUGACAGAUGCCCAGUUGAAACAGCUUGAGGAAAAGGAGGGGUUUGUGGGCGACUUGAGCUUGGCUAGCCCCGGGUGCCUGCUAGCUGUUGCUGCGAGUCUGACUCUGACUUGUCUCUGCUUUCCUAGAGGCUGCUUCUCUUCUGCCAGCAGCACAAGGCUCCCACACCACCAGCCCAGGCCUCUCAGCAGAAAGAGAAUUUUCCCUUCCAAAGACUGCCAGGGUUGACUCCUCCUGGCCCAGGGGAGGACAUGUGUUGGUUCCACACCAGUCACAAGGACCUGGCUGGCCAGCCCCAGACUGCACGUCAACCCCUGGGAUGGGUGAAGUCCAGCCUCACUGGACCCAAAUGCACUGAGGGUUGGGGAGAGGUGAUUGCCCCCACCCCCUCCCAAUUAGGGAGCUAGAACUGGCUACCUUCAGUUCUGUGGAGGGUCAGUGGAUUCAUGCAGAUGUGGAGACCCAAACAAAUGACUCUGGGAGUUGUAUGGACCUUAGGGGUAAGGGAGAAGGGCUCAGUGAGAAAAAGCACUGAAUGCUGAGCCAGAGUCACAGGGAAACAUCUCCAAGGUUUCUCCCUCCUUUCCUGUAUUAGUCCGUUCUCACGCUGCUGAUAAAGACGUACCCCAGACUGGCCAAUUUAUGAAAGAAAGAGGUUUAGUGGACUCACAGUUCCACGUGGCUGGGGAGGCCUCCCAAUCACGGUGGAAGGUAAAAGGUACGUCUCACAUGGCAGCAGACAAGAGAAGAGAAACUGUGCUGGGAAACUCCCCUUUAUAAAACCAUCAGAUCUCAUGAGACUUGUUCACUAUCAUGAGAACAGCAAAGGAAAGACCUGUCUUCAUGGUUCAAUUACCUCUCACCUGGUCCUUUCCACAACAUAUGGGAAUUGUGGGGCUAUAAUUCAAGAGGAGAUGUGGGUAGGGACACAGCCAAACCAUAUCAUUCCCCCAUAAGGAGGCCUUGGCAGGGUGCCUGAAGAAGGUCUUGGACACAGAGACCCGGGAAUGCAGGUACAGGGCUGGGAACACAGGUCCAUGUAACUGCAUGGCCAGCCACGGUCCUGAGACCUUGACCACUGCUCCCUUCUGGGACUGCCAGUGCCCUAGCUGUGCCAGGUCUGGUGUGGAGUGGGAGCCUCCCCAUAAGGCCUGCCAGGUACAGCCUUGUAGUUGCCCACAGCCAGGCCUGAAAAAUCACAACUAAAAGUCAGACUCCUCAGUGGGAGGUUCUAUUGCUCGCCAUGGAAAACAUCAUAACAUGACAAUUUGGAAUCUCUUAGUGAUGAGGGAAAAAAAACCCAACUCAGAUGGGAUUAAAAAGAUAAAGGAUAUGUGAUUUUAAAAUGGACAGAGGACUUGAAUAGACAUGUCUCCAAAGAUGAUAUAUGAAUGGUCAACAAGUAUCUGAAAAGAUGCCCACGUGACUAAUCAUCAGCGAUGUGGAAAUCAAACCUACAAUGAGAUAUCACCCCAUACCCAGCAGGAUGGCCACUAUAAUAAAAGCCCCAGAAACUACAAAGUGUUGGCAGGGAUGUAGAUGUGUUCAUUCAUCUCUUCACUAGCUGUUAAAUGCUACCAGCAUUAGGCCCUGAGCAUAGAAAAAUGGUUAAGACAAUAGGUGUAGACAGUAGUCUACUUAGGGACAUUGUCAGAAGAACAAAUACAGUAACUGCUGUAAUAGAUACACAUACACUAUGUGCUGUAAUUUAAAAGUACUAUAAUAGAAAUUUUGUGCAUUUACGUAUUUAUUUAAGAGAUGGGGUCUCACUCUGUCACCCAGGCUGGAGUACAGUGGCACAAUCAUCAUAACUCACUGCAGCCUCCAAUUCCUGGGCUCAAGAAAUCCUCCUGCCUCAACCUCCCAAUGCGCUGGGAUUACAGGUAUAAGCCACUGUGCCCAGCCGCUCCUGACAGUUUUAUGAGAAGAGCAAGCACUUGUAUUCCUGUUAAGUUCCCAGUAAACCUCUCCUAACUUUCCAUUGGCUGGAUUCAGGUUAUUUUUCAUUGAGCCAGUCACUGUGGCCAGGAGGAUGGGAUGUGCUGAUUGGACUCACCAAUCAGGGCCCAUUCAGGAGUGGAGGGUAGAGUUCGCUUUUUCAGAUGUGCAUGGGCUGUGCCUGGGAAGGUAGUAUGGUUAAAAGGAAAUGAGAUGCAGGCAACUAGAAGGCGGGGUGGAUGCUAGGCAGGCUACAAGAUACAGUUGUCAAUUACAUUGUGGCAUAUGGGUUGCUAACCUGGCAUAAAUAAUUCAAAUUAUUGGCUGGGUGCGGUGGCUCAUGCCUAUAAUCCCAGCACUUUGGGAGGCCGAGGCGGGCGGAUCAUGAGGUCAGGAGUUCGAGACCAGCCUUACCAACAUCGUGAAACCCCGUCUCUACUAAAAAUACAAAAAUUAGCCAAGCAUGGUUGUGCACAUCUGUAAUCCCAGCUACUCAGGAUGCUGAGGCAGGAGAGUCAUUUGAACCUGGGAGGCGGAGGUUGCAGUGAGCUGAGAUUGUGCCACUGCACUCCAGCCUGGGCAACACAGUGAGACCCCUUCUCAAAAAAAAAAAAAAAAA